UACAGAGGGUGCGAGCGUUAAUCGGAAUUACUGGGCGUAAAGGGUGCGUAGGUGGUUAUAUAAGUUAGGUGUGAAAGUCCCGGGCUUAACCUGGGGAUUGCGCCUGAUACUGUGUAGCUAGAGUGCUGUAGAGGAAAGUGGAAUUUCCGGUGUAGCGGUGAAAUGCGUAGAUAUCGGAAGGAACAUCGGUGGCGAAGGCGACUUUCUGGACAGACACUGACACUGAGGCACGAAAGCAUGGGGAG
rnacentral:rRNA from 1 species